AUUGAACGCUGGCGGCAUGCUUUACACAUGCAAGUCGAACGGUAACAGGGUGCUUGCACCGCUGACGAGUGGCGAACGGGUGAGUAAUGCGUCGGAACGCACCGAGUAAUGGGGGAUAACGCAGCGAAAGCUGUGCUAAUACCGCAUGCGCUCUGAGGAGGAAAGCGGGGGACCUUCGGGCCUCGCGUUAUUCGAGCGGCCGACGUCUGAUUAGCUAGUAGGUGAGGUAAGAGCUCACCUAGGCGACGAUCAGUAGCGGGUCUGAGAGGAUGAUCCGCCACACUGGGACUGAGACACGGCCCAGACUCCUACGGGAGGCAGCAGUGGGGAAUUUUGGACAAUGGGCGCAAGCCUGAUCCAGCCAUGCCGCGUGUCUGAAGAAGGCCUUCGGGUUGUAAAGGAUUUUUGUCAGGGAGGAAAUCCUUAGCGCUAAUACCGUUGAGGGAUGACAGUACCUGAAGAAUAAGCACCGGCUAACUACGUGCCAGCAGCCGCAGUAA
rnacentral:rRNA from 1 species